rnacentral:tRNA from 1 species
GUGCCUGAAUAGCACAGUUGAUUUCGUAUUCGCCUGCUGCCCAAAAGGUUGCUGGUUCAACUCCAGCCGGGAACA